rnacentral:lncRNA from 1 species
GCCACUGCGCCUGGCCCACCUUUAUGUUUUCCAGACUCUCUGGCCUCUGUCUGGAACCUUCCUGACCUUGUGAGUCUCCCCAAGAGGCAGACUCUAGGCACCAGGCCUCACUUUCCCAGCCUCCCUUGCAGUUGCUGCAGGCUUGUGACCUGGCUCAGCCAAUCAGACACACACAUUCAGCAACCCUGACUCAGGCAGAAGACACAAAGAAGCAGAGAUGGAGUGCAUCUGCCCCAAGUGGAGGCAGCAGCAGCAGCAGGAGGGAGGUGUCGGGGCAGUGGGGCCGCAGGGCCAGUCCUCAGGAAAGAAAACUGGCUCAGAGAGGCUGAGUAACCUGCUCAAGAUGACACAGCUUGUGGGUGGCUGAGUUGGCCUUCCAACCCAGAUUCCUGUCAUGUUCCUCAAGCCGACAGGUUCAGCUUGGUUGUGACCUCUGCUAGAAGCCCUCCCUGGCCUCCCUGUGCACUGAGCUGGUGGUUCCUCCUUUGCGCCCCAGGUACAUGCUCAGAUCUGUGUACCCUACACUUUGUCCUCCAGCUUCGUGUUUGGAUGUUCACAACUCCCAUGAGAAGGGCCCCCGAGAGCUGGCACAGUGCAUGUGUUUCCUCUCCAGACUUCUACAAACCUGGCACAUAAUUGUUUGCUGAAAGAUGGCAUGUUCCUAAAACAGAGGAAGUAGAACCGAAUAAAGCGAAAUCCAACUUCCCACUCCCUGCUCUCACUUCCUCUGGGACAGGCCUUGAGCAAGAGAGACAAAAAGAACAAGAGAUGAUCUUUCCCUUUAAUGGGAUUUCAGUCUGAUCAGGGAGAUAGUAACAGAAAGACUAGACUAGACUAGUGUAUGAUUAAAUGACAUUUGCCAUCCCCAGAAGAGGGAGAGACCUGCAUGGAACAGGGUGGUCAAGGCAGGCUUCCUGGAGGAGGCAAAGACUUAGAUUUAACAGUACCAGAGCUCCAGGAUAGAUCCUCCUCUGACUGAACUCCCUAUUUCUUUCUCCCACCCCAACCUUCCCGGGUCCCCAGCUGAAGGGAUACGUGUGUGUGUGUGUGUACAUGUGCCUGCACACAUGUACACAUGUGGUUAGAAAGGGGGUAUUAGUAUCUCUCUCCUAGGAUGGAGUCUCAAGGACAGGCCCAUCAUCUCCUCAGUUUGCCCCUCUCUCUCCCACUUCACCUAGGGAAUGGAAUAAGAAUGGGAUAAGUAUAACACAAUGAGACGAAUGCAGAACCAACUAGAUGUACACCCAACAAUGUGGAUGAACCUUAAAACAGUGCUGCCUGAAGAAGGCAAGAAACAGAAUGAAAUCUGCAGCACAUCAUUCAUAUAAACUAAAAAUACAUGCACAGAGAAAGGCCACUUUUUUUUUUUUGGAGACAAAGUUUCGCUCUUGUCACUCAGGCUGGAGUGCAAUGGCACGAUCUCGGCUCACUGCAACGUCCACCUCUAGGGUUCAAGCGACUGUCCUGCCUCAGCUUCUAGAGUAGCUGGGAUUAUAGGAGCCCACCACCAUGGCCGGCUAAUUUUUGUCUUUUUAGUAGAGACGGGGUUUCACCAUGUUGCCCAGGCUGGUCUCAAACUCCUGACCUCAGGUGAUCCACGUGCCUCGGCCUCCGAAAGUGCUGGGAUUACAGGCGUGAGCCACCGCACCCAGUCAGCAACGUAUGUUUUGUAGAGACACAGACAAAGAUGUGAUGUCAAACACACUAAUGUGGUUGCCUCAUUUAUGGAUGGGGGACUGGGCUGGUGAAUGAGGAUUAAAGGAAUAAAUAAAUAAAACAAGAGAGGGCCUCUGUACAGAACGGUGAUGACAGCGUGCCGUCGAGGAGAAUGAUGAACUCAAACUUUUGCACCUGAGAGCCAAACAAAAGCUCAAAACCAAAAUCUCUCUUAGAAAUGAUGCCACUGACUUUAGGAUGGCACUCAUAUCUGUGUGAGUGGGAGAGAGAAGGGUUUGGGGCAGGGAUUUGACUGUAGCUGUAAUGUUUUAUUCCUUUAAAAAAGAUAAGAUAAUCUGAAACAAAAUGUUAAUAUCUGUUGAAUCUGGGGAGAGGCUAUGAGGGUUUCUGUUAAACCAUUUUGUGUACAUUUUAAAUACAGUCAUGCAUGAGUUAAUGAUGGGGAAUAAGUUCUUAGAGAUACGUUGUUAAGCAGUUUUGUUAUUGUGUGAACAUUAUCGAGUGUACUUACACAAACUUAGGAUGGAAUAGCUGACUAUAUAACUUAGACUAUAUGGUCUAGCCUAUUGCUUGAAGGCUGCAAACCCAUACUCCAUGUUACUGUACUGAAUAAUGAAGACAAGUGUAAUACGAUGGCAAGUAUUUGUGUAUCUAAACAUAGAAAAGGUACAGUAGAAAUGUGGUAUCGUAGUCUUAUGAGAGUACUGUUGUAUAUGCAAUGCUUUGUUGACUGAAACAUCAUUAUGUGGUUCAUGACUGUAUAUCAUAAUUUUAAAAAAUAUUUUAAGAGGUUGCCAAUCAAGACACUACAAACUAAUUUUGUGGCUUUUGUCAAAAUUCAUUUCUUUCUUUCUUUUUUUUUUUUUUGUUUUGAGACAGGGAUCACUCAAGCAAUCCUUCUGCCUUA